UACGAAGGGGGCGAGCGUUGUUCGGAUUUACUGGGCGUAAAGGGCGCGCAGGCGGCUCAUUUUGUCAGGCGUGAAAGCCCCGGGCUUAACCUGGGAACUGCGUUUGAUACGGGUGGGCUAGAGUUCGGGAGAGGAGCGUGGAAUUCCCAGUGUAGAGGUGAAAUUCGUAGAUAUUGGGAAGAACACCGGUGGCGAAGGCGGCGCUCUGGACCGAGACUGACGCUGAGGCGCGAAAGCGUGGGGAGCAAACAGG
rnacentral:rRNA from 1 species